rnacentral:tmRNA from 1 species
GGGGGCGAAAAGGUCUCGACGGCGGGUGAAAGCCUGCCGGGUGCAGGCCGGGGUCGGGCAACCCCGUUAUCAAGCCCGAAACCAAAAUAAGUGCGAACGCUUCGUACGCUCUGGCGGCGUAAUGACCGCCAGCCUCCCACGGAUCGCCUCCUGCCCGGCAUCCGAUGGGGGGUCCUUUAGGGCAGGCCCUUCGCCUCGGUCUCCCUCCUCUCCCCGAGGUGGAGGGUAAUCAAAGAGGAGGCGUCCCGACUCUCGGGAGACGCCCCGAUGCCCUUGGGUCGGGACGUAAAUCCAAAGAAGGGGCUAAGCCUGUAAAACACCCGGGGGCAAGUAGCCCGUUCGGACGCGGGUUCGAUUCCCGCCGCCUCCACUU